AGCGAACGCUGGCGGCAGGCCUAACACAUGCCAGUCGAACGAACCUUUCGGGGUUAGUGGCGGACGGGUGAGUAACACGUGGGAACGUGCCUUUAGGUUCGGAAUAACUCAGGGAAACUUGUGCUAAUACCGAAUGUGCCCUUCGGGGGAAAGAUUAAUCGCCUUUAGAGCGGCCCGCGUCUGAUUAGCUAGUUGGUUGAGGUAAUGGCUCACCAAGGCGACGAUCAGUAGCUGGUCUGAGAGGAUGAUCAGCCACAUUGGGACUGAGACACGGCCCAAACUCCUACGGGAGGCAGCAGUGGGGAAUCUUGCGCAAUGGGCGAAAGCCUGACGCAGCCAUGCCGCGUGAAUGAUGAAGGUCUUAGGAUUGUAAAAUUCUUUCACCGGGGACGAUAAUGACGGUAACCGGAGAAGAAGCCCCGGCUAACUUCGUG
rnacentral:rRNA from 1 species